UAUUAGACCAAAAUCUGUUCCUCUAAUUGUUUUAACCAUGAUUGUGUAUUUUCAGAAAUGACGACAUCUGACACCAAAAGAGAAACAUCUCAGGAAAAGACUGAAAUGACCUCAUCUGACACCAAAAAGGAAACAGUCCAGGAAACAGAAAAGCCUGAAAUGACCUCGUCUGACAGCGAAAGUGAAAAAGACCAGCAAAAAGCAAAGUCUGAUUUUCCUGUAGUAGUUUCUGUGGGUUUGCUCCUGCUGGCUCUGGUUAUAGUGUUAAUCUUACUCAAACUGAAACACAACAAACAUGGCUUAAUUUCCUCAACAGACAGAAGACAGACAGGGGAUCAUGAAACGACUCAAGAAGACAUUCAAGACGCCAGAGACCAUUCAGAUUCUGAAUCAAACCAUCUCUAUUCGACAGUCCAGUUACGCACAAACCCCUCUGAUUCAGAUAAUCUACUUUACUCCACAGUACAGUCACCCACAAUCCCCUCUGAUGGGCUCCUGUACGCUUCUGUCAGUUUCCAGAAGCAUGAAGAGUCUCUCAGUGACGCUACAGUCAGAUUCAGUAAAGAGGAGAUUCACUGUGAUUACGCAUCUGUCAGUCGCAACAUCUCGCCAAAUUAAUAUCACCACUGGAUUUUUGUUUUUAUAUACAACUUGAAUUGUGUCAGUCACUGAGCAAAAUGACUGAAUGACACAAUCGUUCAAUUUCAUCGAGCAAGUUAUUGAGCAGUCAGCGACACCGACAGGUCAGUGUUGGGAAAAACCUGAAAUGUUUCUCUGUGACUGAAGAAAACAUCACCCCUUACCCCUUGUUUACACUGCACAGGUCUGCGGCAUGUUACGGCUCCAGCAAGGUUUUGUUUCGUCCUUCACGCAGUUAACUCACACCAGGAGCAUUUCAUUACUGUUGGAUGCGUUAUCCGUCAAAAAUAGACUAGGCGCCUAUCUUUAGCGAAGCAGCGUGUAGAGCAACUUCUGGGACGCUUCAUAAGGGCUUUUUACACAGCACACUUCUGCGGUGUGUUACGGCUCCAACAUGGCCACGGGAGCUGAUCGCAGCCAUUGAAAUUUAAGGUUGAAUCAAGUAGAUGAAGCCAGGAUUAAGCCAACGUGAAAAAGGUCUUUCGCCAGCAUCUUAAACUAGCAUAUUUUUGGACAUUACAUGUGUUUUGCCUACUUAUUUAAUGACACCUGAUUAACUUUUUUUCUUAAAUCAAUC
rnacentral:lncRNA from 1 species